UUAGUCAGUGCUUCAUGGACUUUUAGAGAGUAUUUGGUUGGAGGGAGUGGGGAUCUGAAAUCGGAAUCAAAAUAGAUGACUCCCAUUCCAACCAUUUGAUUGGGAGGAGUCUCAUUCCAAUUCCGAUUUCGGGAUGGAAUAGGAAUGGCUCAAUCUAUAUAGAACUCAAUCCCUACUCUCCUCUAUGGAUUCAAAUUUUCAUUUCGAUUCUGAUUUCGGUUACGAAUCAAA
rnacentral:lncRNA from 1 species